rnacentral:rRNA from 1 species
UACGUAGGGUGCGAGCGUUAAUCGGAAUUACUGGGCGUAAAGCGUGCGCAGGCGGUUCGUGAUGUCUGAUGUGAAAGCCCCGGGCUCAACCUGGGAAUUGCAUUGGAAACUAGCGGGCUGGAGUGUGGCAGAGGGGGGUGGAAUUCCACGUGUAGCAGUGAAAUGCGUAGAGAUGUAGAGGAACACCGAUGGCGAAGGCAGCCCCCUGGGCUAACACUGACGCUCAUGCACGAAAGCGUGGGGAGCAAACAGG